rnacentral:lncRNA from 1 species
GUUCUUGCCUUUUGCAAUCAAGAUGUUUACAGUGUUAAUAUUUGCACUUUACAUAGUAUUUAACACAUCGUGAGAAGAUUGUCUGUUUGAAAUCUAUAGGGGAAAAUUCCUUGGAUUACCUUUUCCUGUUAUCUAACACAUCGUGAGAAGAUUGUCUGUUUGAGAUCUGUAGGGGAAAAUUCCUUAGAUUACCUUUUCUUGUCUGUGAUUGUUGUUUUUCUAUUGAUAUGAUUAGUAAAAAGUUUCACAUACAGAACAUAUUUAUGUUAUGUAUAGAGCAAGUAUGCACCAUGGAAAUGCUUCUAUAUUCUCAAGCGAUUGACUUUUUUACUGCUUCAAAAAAACAUGACUUUUUUCUACUUAUAUCUUUUCCCACCUAUUUUGAGGAAAUUCUUG